UUUCUCUCGGGUAUAACUGGUCGCUUCCAUAGGUUGCUGAUAUUAAUGUCAGAUGGAGGUGGAGACAUGGGCCUCUCCAGGUUAUCAUCAUAGCUGAGAGCUCGACGGGUCAUCCCAGCUGGGAUAGACAUCCCUCCGAGGAGACCCUCUGAAGAACCUGGACCUGCUUCCAGGGCUGAGGUUUGAGGAUGCGUCUCUUUGGAAUAAGCGCAUGUUUGUGCUGUACAAAAGAACUGAGAAUCUGGACAGUCAGAGGAGCCUCUUGACCUUUUGAGUUACAGGGGCUGAUGAACUCAUGUAAGAAACCCCAGUAAACCAUAAGUCUUGUGAUAACAAAAAAUCUGUGUGAUGGGACAGCAUUAAUGAACAAACCAGCAGACCCCCGACCACAUUGUAAAACAUCUGUAAUGCUGUUUUGGUCCACUGCACGUUCAUUGGAUUUCGUUUUCAUCUUCUGAGGCGAGUAAUUUAUUUUGAACAAAAAGGCCCACAGUGGCUUCUCCAACCACAGCAAAUUCCAUUUUUCUUUUUGAUGUUGGCUUCAGUUUAUCAGCAAUUGACAGUUUUGUUUUCUUUGACUCAUUGGAUGGAAACUACGAAGACCCGGAAGGGACGUGAUGGUGGAGAAAAAAAAAAUGGGUGGGAGAAAAAAAACAGAGCUAUAGGUUAACAUAUUGUUGAAAGUUUUUGCGUUCCCUCGCAAACAUGUUUUGCGUUAUCUUGCAAAUAUGUUGUUUGACAAAUACUUCACUUCAUACAUGAAAACCCUGUUUUUGC
ensembl:processed_transcript